CAGACAUUGCUAUUUCAUUAGCAGAUAUGAUAGUUCCUUAGGAUCAAAUAUCGCAAGGUAUCAGAAAACAACCAAAGUAUCUUGAAAACUGACAUAACACAGGUGGCUGCAAUGUGUUAAAUGUCUACAUAAAUGCCACUACUGUAUUUCUGCAAUGAGAUGCUCUCACAGAUUAAUGAUGGGUAACCUGGGCAUCUGUAGUGCCUUGACAUCCCUGUUAUAGGUCAUUAUUCAUUAAUUUUCCUGUUUCUCUUGCUGUAAAGGUUUUACCUUCCCUAUGUCUGAAGAUGAUAUCCAGUCUGCAUUUCAUGAAAACUGUCUUCCAUUACAUUCCGCACCAGAUACACACUUACACACUUAAAACCUCUCACUCUCAGUAAUCCAGAUCAGAAGACACAAUGGAUCAGAGAAUGCCUGUGUGGGAAUCUCAUAGCCCCGAGGAGGACAGAGAGCAUGUCUGGGUGUAAAAAGGUGAUAACAGCCAGAGGGUAUUCAAUUAUUUCAAUACUUCUCUUUAUCAGCUUGUCAGAAAUGUUAAAC